CUCCCUCAACCAAUCUGGUCGUGUGAGAGACGAGAGAACCAAAGCCACUACCUAUUCCCCCGAUUCAGCAACGCACGCGGGUGAAAACCCUAGGUCCCUAGCACGCAGCCGCGCUCCUCCAUCUCCUUCCUCCUGGCUUUUCUAUGCUCCCUCCAAUCCCAUCCACGGAAGCGGCAUCCUCGGCGGAGCGCGGCGCGGGCAGACAGCAGCGGCAUCGCCAUUGGAGCACGCGCAGGAGCGGCGAAUCCCUCCGUGUCCGGGUCCUGGCUACUGCCUCGUCGCCGUGUGUGCUAUCAAUCGCCGUCGACCUCUGCCUCCUCCACCCCAGCCAGUCGUUGUCGUGCUGCUACAUCUCCUCGCCGAGGUUGGGGGCGACGGCCACGAGCCGGAUGCGGUCGCGUGAACGCGCGCGAGGGGAGGAAGCAGAGGCAGACGGCGCGCGAGCAGCGGCCUUACAACGGGGAGGAGAGAGAGGUGCGCGUGAGGAUAGAGGAGAGCGAGCUGGCGGCGAGCUGCAGCGCCGGCCCGGAGGUGGAGGAGCAGCAAGUGGCGGCGGCGCUAGGUGGAGGAGCGGUCGGCGCCGCUGCUGCGUAUUUAGUCACCUUUUUCAAGCCCGAAAUUCAUGUCCAGGAAGGAAAGGGAAAGCGCGCUCGGUCGUUUUCGUCUGAGAGGACACUCUGUUGCAGGUUUUAUGCAGUGAGCUGUUGGAUGCUGGAAUUUGAAUUUGGUUCUGUGAUGAUCUGGCUGGAGCCUAGGGAGUCGAGUUUACUCCAGUGACAAAACAAAGGCUAAGAUAGCUCAAGACAGGUACAACCAGGUUUGGAUCUCCCAACAAGACCUGCUCAUACAGUGUACAUGGAGCUGCAUUGGGCACCAGCCAGGUUGAAGCAACCGGGGCAAACCUUAGAUGGCCCUAUGAGCCAUUCUUUGUGCAUGAGGAUGUCAAGAGAAUGGUUGAAGUGAAAGGGCAAUAAACAUUAUUACAGCCCAGGAUGCCUUAUCUCUUUAGAUGCGUGUUGAUCUGAAAUGGAGCAGAUCUAGAUGCCCCGAUCUGAUUCAGCACUUCCUCUUCUCUCGAUUUCAAGGUGAUGUUUACUGUGUAGCAAAAAUGAGAGUUUAAUUACUUAAAAAUGAGAGAGUGGCUACUUAAAAAUCAGAGGUUGUUUGACCUUGAUUAGUUCAUGUCAGGUUUGUCCUCCACGACAUGUUUUUCUUGCCUAAUGCAAGUGGAUCUGUUUUCUUAUUCAAAUAAGUAGUUUAAUACAGUUUCAUCAUGCCCAAAGUGUUCAUCAUCAGCUCAUGUAGCUUCAUACAACAGCUUCGGAAACUCUAUUCUUGGUCCUUGGAUACGAAUGUCAGUCAGAUCUAUGUAAGCUUGAACAUGUAAAUAGUAGGAGGGGAAGGGCAGCAGGGUGCCAUGUCUAGAGGAGUUAGAGCUUGACGCGCGGGAGCAGGCGAGCGAGAUGUGGAUGGACAGAGGGAUUCGGCCUCCACUGCCACCAUGCUGAGAAGAGGCCCAUGGUGGUAGCAGCCGAUUAUAGAGGUCUGACUUUCUUUCCUCUACAUUCUCGCCUUUUCCUUGUUCAGAACCCUAAUAUUUUGAUUGAUUAGAUUCUAAAUCUGGAGCAUAUAAUCUGAUGUUGCUAAAAUAUGUUAAUCAUUAGCUUUAUUUCAAUAUUUUUUGGUAAUUGUUAUAGCCUAAUUUUUUCAAGACAAAAAGAAAAACAAGGAACUGUGAUGCAUUUGAUGUUUCUUAAGUAACCCCUCUGUCCAAAAGAGCACAUAAAUUAUAUAAUCUUUGAAUCAUCAAUUUGUGUUACCAUUCACUUUGAUUACAAGGAUCUGGCCUCCUGUGCAUUUUGCUUGUUGACAAUUCCUCCAAGAAUUGUAGGGAGACACUAUGCAUCACAGGAUAUUCCUGAUUUUAGAGAGAGAGAGGCAUUUCAUCAUCCAUAUUAUAGGGAGACACUAUGUUUCUGGGAAUGUUUCUUGUGAUUGGAACCAAAUCUGAUAUGCCCCGGAGUUUGGAUAGGACCAUUUCAAAAAGAGCUAAUUGCUCUCUCUAAGUAGAGUAUACAACAACAUACAAAAAGAGUCAAUUGGGACAAGCCCGUGGGGGGAGAAGACAAGGGGAAGUGAGUGCGAGAGGCAGAGACUAGAGAAUGAAUCGUGUGUCCUAUCUGUGUGUAUUGUUUUUAGAUGCAUUUUAGAAGACUAUAAUUAAAUUUUCUACGUUCUACGUAGAUAUUCAACAUUUCUGGUUGCAAUUGUAUUUUCUAAAUUAUGCUUCCUAAUUCGUUUCCGCACUGUUGGGUGUGUGCUCAAUCUGUAUGAAUUUUGGCUUACUGAUUUUGUUGGUCUUUUAUUCCACAAGUCUAUGAUUUUUCCGCUGUUCUUAAUGGUGAGGCAAACUUUGAUAUAGUAAGUCUGUCCAAUGUGUUUUUGUGGUCUAUGCUGAUUCUAUGAAAGCAUUAGCGGCCUCGCCGGUACCAGCAGCAGGAUCAUGAUCUACAUUCUUGCCUACUAUCUCUAGACCAUAUGUUGCGCCACAAUGGACUGUCGAGAGAUCAGCGGCAGCGAGAUGCAGCCUACAGGCCCAUUAGUUUGAGGAGAUUUGUUCCUAACAACUGAGGCAGCAAUUCAGUUGGCUUGAAGGACAUCAACAACAAUGGGAGCAUUUGUGUCCAAAUUUUGAAGGACGAAAGGAACUGUACUACUAUUUCGAAGCCAUUGAAGGGAUGUCCCCUUCUUUUGCGGCAUGAGGCGAGAGGAGCAUCGGCAGCCGCUGCAUUGCAACUUCUAGCCAAGGCACUCCUUUGUCCAUGGAACAGCAUGAGCUGAUGUUGCCGUGAGAGAAAGUUUGGUUAUAUGGUACGAAGGUUUGAGCUCUCUACAAAUGAUGUGAUCAAGCACCUAAGAGCCCCCACUUGAUAGUAGGUUAAAUGGACAUUUCCCUCCCUAAGUAUCCAGGGUUAAUUAGAGAGAACGUGUAGACAUCAACCCAGGCGGUCUUUUUUCUAGGAGAAAAGAGUAAACUAACUCACCUAGGCCCAAGUGAGGGGGCAAGCUUGAUUGAAGUGGCACUUAUGUACCCUCUGUUUAAAUGAGUAGAUGAUUCUUUUCACAACAUAUGUACUGUUAUAGGUAUGCCAUUUUACUGACUAUGAAGAUCGAUGUAUCACAAUAAUGAAGGAACAUGCCUUCCCAACAUUGGUUCAGGUUAGACAUACUGAUUUCUUCUGAGGUAAUAUCCUAAAGCAACUAUUGAGGUUUUUGUAUCAGAACUAAAUUUUCGCAAAAUGACGUUGCUUCAUAAGUUGAUAACACUGUCUGCAGGUCAAAGAGAGAAAUAAUAUACUGUAUGUUAUAUACAUAGUUCAUGUGCUACAUGGCUGUAGGUCUAAAAUUAAAAUUCAUAAUUUCAAAAAUUAUUGGAAUAGUCACUUAAUGACAUUUAAAUAGCAUGUAAGGCUUGCACUUAAACAAAUCUGUAUGUGCGUGCCUCCUGUUGAUGGGUUCAGAGACUUAAACAUUGAUGGUAAUAUUCUAUUUUGUUCCUAGAGCCAGCUUGGUACACAUCGCUAAUAGUAGCUGUAGUGUUCACAUUUUGGUAGUGCAUAGACAGGCGAGACAAAAGCUAAUGUGAUGCCUUGAAUCGUUGAGGUUUCCAAAUAAAAUCUUAUAAGUAGAAUUUAUUUAUUUACUGUGCAUUACACAAGCUUCAACCUGGCACUCUGGCAGUGGUGUGAGAGUGAAAUCAUGGAACUGAAAAAGAUGAAUUGGCCUUUCUGGAGGUUUUUUGUACAAGUCUUUUGUUCUGAAAUUUAAAUAGUUAUUUCUAUGUUGGAAUUAUAACUCGUUGUGUUUUCAGAUGUCAUGCCCCCUUUUUUUUAGAUUCGCAUUACGAGAGAUUCUCAAAGAUCAGUAACUCAUAUGCAUUUUUGUGUGUGCAUCCUUGGAUUGAGGAGUUUCCUCUCUGUCCAUCUCGGUAUCGGUAAAGGUAAUCCCCGAUGAUUUGUAGAGUAUUUUUGUACAUUUACUAUUUAGCUAAACGUUUUUCUCUAGCUCGGAUUUCAUGCCUCGAUUUCUGCAGCUCAUUGUUUGAUUGAAAGUUUAGUUAGUACUAAAAAUCUUUAUUUAUUGAGUCUUCUCUUUUCCCGGAACAACAAAUUUUGGUGAUGCAAGUGAACGUUCUUUCUAUGUUAUAUGCAUAUCUUGCAUUACAGAGAUCAUGUUUUCCCUUUCAUAGUUGCCGUGUAAAUAUGAACUAAUUAAGCAUAUGUUGUGACGAUCCUCCUGUGCAUCUUUAUGUGGAUGGUGCUCUUCUACCGCUUCUUCAUGCUUGCCGUACGUGACCUUUUGGUUUGUCCUGGUAUAGGUUAGUUUAGCUAAUCGCUCUAGACAUUUGUAGACUCCUGGUUUAGUGGCAUUAUACUGGAUGUUUGAACAUAUAGAGGAAACAUCCUUAUAGAGGGCUGGAUCUAUCUCCCACUGAAUACCUCAAAUAUGUAAACCUUAUGUAUAUAAGAGCAACGUUAUUUUCUCUAGGCCUAAACAGUCACUCCUGUGUAUAACAUACUUCCAUAUAUUAUCUCCAUCUGCUUAGCAUGUGAGCAUCACUUUAAGAUUAUCUAUUUAGUCUUCAUUUGCUACUUGCCUAUGAUCAAAUUGUAUACUUGUUCAUUUUAUGAUGUACUUGCUUUGCACUCCUCAUUUGUGAACUUCAUUCUAAUCCAUCACGCUUUUGACUCUUGCUAGGUUCCAGUCGUUAUACAUAUUUUUUUGAGGGAGGGUAUGUAUACAUUGUGGAUGUACUGUUGUUCACUUCACCUAUUUUAUGUUUUUUUGGUACAUCAUAUGUUACUUACGGUAUUCAACACAAUGCUUAUUGAUGUGAAACUUGGGGAACGCGCGCGUGUGCGAGCUGUUUACGUAUCCUGUAACUGAGUUUAAGGGAAUGAUGGGUGAAGGUGGAGGAGUUGAUGAAGAUAGUACUAAAUCCUAUAGGGCAAGGAUUAUUUUUUCACUAGCCAAUGACAAGCUAAGAUGGCUCCAAAGCCAUAUGAGCUCCCCCAUUUGAUGAGUUGGAUACAAUCACAAAGAGGUGCUUAAGAAAUAUAUGCUGUCUAACUUUAUGACUUCGAUUUUCAUUGUUUGAGAUUGUGGGCUGCUGCAGGCUGUUGUUGCAACUCUUUCUCUAAUAGUGAUGGCAAGACUGUUAUCGUCUGAUAUGUCAAGAGAUCCUUGCUCCAGGAAUCGCCUCCUCGGAUUGGGUCUAAAGGUCAGAUAAAUAUCACUUUGCAAAUUUGGUUCCGAGUGGAAAAACCAAAUAUGAAGCAAAUAUUAAGGAGAAACCGAGGACGACAAAAUCCACUUUUGGUGUAACCAAAAUGAAUAGCUGGCUAUAUAUAAGUUUUUGUAUUCAAAUGAUGAUUUUGUAUUGGUUCAUGCCUAGCUUAUUAUCUAGGCUUAAUAGAAAGUGUUUCACAUAAUGCUCGUUAGUGCGAAAGAUGGGGCCGUGCGCGAAGGGGUGCCCCUAAAUCUAAUAGAGCCCAUUGUCAUAGUAAAUUUUUUUUGGUUGCACAUUACCGUUGAGCUUCUUAGCCUUUUGCUUCUGUUUGUACAUUUACAUGUUUCUUUUCUGCUACAACGCAAUGAUUCUAGCUAUGUGUGUCUAUGAGAUUACUCACCUAUUUGGUACA